rnacentral:lncRNA from 1 species
CAGGAAAUCAGCUUAGUACCUAUUCUCCUCAUCCAGGGCUCUUGAGCCUGAUUUCAGAAAUGAAGAAUUAUGAAAUCAGAGUCUCUAAGGAGCUACCUUUAAUUUGGAGGCUUUUGGCCUUCAAGUGGAGUUUCGAAAUCUCACUAGUUGGCCGUGUCCCAGAUUCCUGCUUGGAUCAAUCUGCCUGGAGGUAGGCAAAUGUGGCUUUCGUUGGAGCCCAGGGAUUAGUGACCGGGGAAGGCUGCAUUUGUGUUUCCUCUGCCCAUGAGAAGGCUCCACAGAGAGGCAGCCUUUGAGCUGGGUUUUAAGGCAUGAGUGGGAGAGGCACUGGUGGAUGAGCAUUCUAGGCAAAGGCAACAACCCCCACGCUCUAUAGUGCUGUACAUAUCAGACUAUGUCGCAAAUUCGUAACAAAUAGUCCCCCAAAACAUACACUGGUUUAAGCCCCAUAGACAUUUAUCGUAUUCUCAUACAUAGGAUGGGUGGGGCAGCUAUCCUCCACCCAUCACUUAAAUUUUUGAGCUGACUGAGGCUCUGCCAUUUUUAACAUUUGCAUCAAAAGUUGCCUGCCCAGAGGGUCAUCUCCACUCCAGGCAACCAGACAGGGCAAAGAGCCCGGAGAUGGCCCUUGUCACUUCCUCCCACCCAGGUCUAACCGCAAGAGGAGCUGGAAACUGGAGUCUAAAUGUGUGCCCAGGAAUCAUAGGACAACACAGACUCUAGGAAAUUGUCUGCGACCUCCGCCACAGUCUGCUCCAUUCCUCAGGCCCUGCUCCUUUUGGAUAGAUCAGAAAGAAAAGCAGCCAGCGGCAGAGGCAAGGCAAGGGAAAGAGGAAGGAAGCUUCUGGCACUUGGAAGCAGCACUCUGGAGGCAGUCAAACACUCAGGUUGACUCAGCCAAUUUCAUUUUCGGGGGCUUUGAAGUAGCAUCCGAGAGGGACAGUUUUCAGAGAUGGGUGGAGAAUAGAGCAACUGUGGCGCCCUGGGCUGUCGGAGGACGCGGGCAGAUGGGGAUGCUCAGAAGGUAAAACCCACCGCACCACGCAAAUCCCAUCCCCGCCAGAGCAGCGCCCGCUCCAAUCCUCGAGGCUUCUGAAGCCCCUCCCCUCGCCACUUCACCCAAUUCCCCUCUGAGAGUCCAGGCCCUUCCCUUUUUAAAGCAGUCAGUCUCCG